GAUGAAGAACGUAGCGAAAUGCGAUAAGUAAUGUGAAUUGCAGAAUUCAGUGAAUCAUCGAAUCUUUGAACGCACAUUGCGCCCGCCAGUAUUCUGGCGGGCAUGCCUGUCUGAGCGUCAUUUCAACCCUCAUGCCCCUAGGGCGUGGUGUUGGGGAUCGGCCAAAGCCCGCGAGGGACGGCCGGCCCCUAAAUCUAGUGGCGGACCCGUCGUGGCCUCCUCUGCGAAGUAGUGAUAUUCCGCAUCGGAGAGCGACGAGCCCCUGCCGUUAAACCCCCAACUUUCCAAGGUUGACCUCAGAUCAGGUAGGAAUACCCGCUGAACUUAAGCAUACAUAAGCGGAGGA
rnacentral:misc_RNA from 1 species